GAUCUCACCUCAUCCUGCAGUCUUGCCUAUCCACAAGAUGUAACUGAAAUAGAACAAAGUGAGACACUCAGCACCUUCAGUGCUCACGGCUUCCAAAAGCUCUGCCAAAGCCCCAGCUACUUAUUCAAACAGUCCACGUGUUCUUUGUAUUUGGACAGUGCUUCACACCUUAUUGCAAAGGCAGUGUGUUUACAGGAAAAGAUUUCAAGCUGGCCAAUGUUGCUUUAGCAGAUCCAGAGAAUAUGAUUGCGAGGGUUGGGGAGAGAGAUCAAAGCAAAGCAAGGUGUCUCUGUGCAGAGCAGGGAGCGGGACUGGGUGACCAGCUCCAAUGGUCCUAUUACUCUAUGAUUCCAUGGUGAAUUACUGAAAUCCAUGCAUAGGCAAGCAUGCAGAUGGGCAGUAUGCACUGCCUCGGAUAACCCUGGCAAUUGCCUGUUAAUCCUGG
ensembl:lncRNA